rnacentral:lncRNA from 1 species
CUCACCUGAAAUUGCUGGUUAGAAAGGGAAGCAGUGGCCCACUUUUCAGUAGAUUUUAUACUUCUCAAGACGUGAACAUUCCGGUCAUUGUGUCUAAGCCCAAAGCCAUGAGAUGGAGGAAUACACUCUUCCCUCAUUGAGGAGGGUUUCUGCAAGUGGAUUAAUCAGCCCUGUGUAUUCAUUCUACCACCAGAGCAACAAUUCAUUUUGAUUAUUAUGUUACGAAUACCAGCGACAUUCAAUAGACCUUGCAGAGAAAUGUAUAUGAGCUUGGGCAAAUAUCCACUGUAGCACACGAGACAGAUCAGAUAAUAAUAGCAGCUGCAGGUUCUGGAACAUCACAGAGUCCCUCCAUGAUACCCACUGAAUUGGAAUGUCAACCUGGUGAUGUAGUUCAUCCUUAUCACCUAAAAAAUUCUACAGUAAUGGCAAAUAUAGCACAUGUGUUUAAAAAUCAGUAUUCAUAUCACCUUUUGUACAGUCCAAAUAGCUUUAAUAGUGAAUGUCCAAGAGCCUUUACAUUAAUUGCUAAAUGCCGAUAGUAAGAAAGUAAAUGAAAUUUAACCCCAACCCUCCCUAGGGGCUGUGGG